rnacentral:rRNA from 1 species
UUGAACGCUGGCGGCAUGCUUUACACAUGCAAGUCGAACGGUAACAGGCCUUCGGGUGCUGACGAGUGGCGAACGGGUGAGUAAUGUAUCGGAACGUACCCUGUCGUGGGGGAUAACACAGCGAAAGCUGUGCUAAUACCGCAUACGACCUGAGGGUGAAAGCGGGGGAUCGCAAGACCUCGCGCGAUAGGAGCGGCCGAUAUCGGAUUAGCUUGUUGGUGAGGUAAAGGCUCACCAAGGCGACGAUCCGUAGCUGGUCUGAGAGGACGACCAGCCACACUGGAACUGAGACACGGUCCAGACUCCUACGGGAGGCAGCAGUGGGGAAUUUUGGACAAUGGGGGCAACCCUGAUCCAGCCAUUCCGCGUGAGUGAAGAAGGCCUUCGGGUUGUAAAGCUCUUUCAGCAGGAACGAAACGGUGGCUACUAAUACUAGCUACUAAUGACGGUACCUGAAGAAGAAGCACCGGCUAACUACGU